GUCCUACUAUAGGAGUUUAAUAUCCUUUUAAAAUUUUUGUAGGUGAACAGUAUUAGUCUCUUUCAACUUUUCUUCCAUUCUGAGAUGUUGAAUCACUCAGGGGAGGAAUAGCUGCCUGUCUUAACUAGGACACCUCUGUUUUCUAGGCUUUCCUGGAAAGUUGUCUCUGUAACAUCUUCACCUUCACACAGUGCAUUUCUAUUGUCCUCAGGUUGGGGCUUUUGAAGAACACUUUGUGUCAAUGGGAACACUUUUCUUCUGAGAUAAAGAUAGUGGAUAUCUGUGCAUCUCAGUCUGGACUAAAAAGAUCUUGUGAAUGGAGACUGGUUCAGUACAGGGGUUCCCAGGCCCUUCUCAUCCUGAAUUAGGACAGCCAUCCUUUCUGUUUCCAGAUUCCGUGGAAACUGUAAAGAUGGAAAGAGUGAAUAUGGAGAUAAUAAUUCAGUAUAGAAAGAGUAUGGCAAAGUACAACUUUCAAAUGUUAAAACAUCAGUGGAUGUCCUACAUCAAGAGGAUUGCAAGCUUGAGACCAGCAAAGAUGGGUUAUGUAGAGAGAAUCUGUCUUUUAAAAAAAAUAAACAGCAC
rnacentral:lncRNA from 1 species